rnacentral:lncRNA from 12 species
ACAAAAGUAAAAGAGUUUGUUAGCGAGUUUUUUUUUUUUUUUUUUAAGUUUACUACAUUUGAGCUUGAGAGAGAAAAAAGAAAACAGCAUAAAGAUAAAAUAAAAAUGACUCACCAGCUGGUUGAAAAUGGACAGAUCAUUUGAAUAAGGAAGAAAAGCUCCAUAGCUUUGUGCGGCAGCGAAAGGUGAUCCGUACAUAGUGGAGAGAACAUUAGAGAGCGCUCCGGACGGGCUCAGGUCUGUCCCGGCUCGGACACUGCCUAAACCCUGCCUGUCCUGCGGGUAUAUGGGUCGGAUGUACUGAUAUCCCAGCUGUGGGAAAGACAUUGUUGUGGAGAAAGUCUGCUGGAGUCACAAAAAGCGGCGAAUCGCCCUCUUGGUGCGCACCACGAUAUCCACUUUACACUGCUGUAGCAGGUUAGUAUGUAACUGCAGGAGAAGCAGCUGUACUAACACAGAGGCCCCUAUCCACCCAGAGGCACUGAUAACCCUGCGGGAAGAAUAGCUCACAGUCUACAAAUUGAUGCAUCCUUAAAUAUAAAGUCAACAUGUGUUUGUGUAUUUGGGGCCAUUCGUUACCUUGUGAGCAGUGGAGUAGCAAUGGACUCAGCUGGCUUGGGAAGAGCUGCCAGAUUUUCAGAACAAUGCCACCCUCAUCAUCACCGUUAACGCCUCUCUUCUCCUCAGAAAUAUCCCAGAUCCCAACACGCCUCUAUAUUAUCCUCACAUAUCAAUGUCUGCUGGAUUCUGUUGUGGCUGGCCCUGUCAGAAGAUUUGCCUGUGUGCAAUCAAAUCACUUUCACCUUCUGUAUACUGCAGAUUAUGAAAAGCGAUUAAUGAUUACAUGCAGCACCUAACUGAAAAAUUUAAGGGGGUGAACUGACCUGAGUGAGAGGUUUUCAGUGCUACACAGACAGUGUUGAGCAUGGCAACCGGAAAUCCAAAUUGUGUUCCAAAUGUUGCUCUUAAAAAAAGAAAAGGUUAAAAAAGUACACCUUUGUACUUUAUUAUGCUAAAGUGUGCAUAUUAGUACCUUAAAGAUUCAUAUUAAAGGGGUCAUAUGAUGCAAUUUCAAGUUUUCCUUUGUCUUUGGAGUGUAAACAAAGCUGUUCAUGCGUAGAUAAGAUCCCUAUAGUUGCAAAGACUAAAAUCUCAAACCCAAAGAGAUAUUCUUUAAAAAGGUUAAGAGUCGUCCAUGCCUUCCUAAAAUGCCUCGUUUAAACACGACCCCACAUGUCUACCUCACUGUGUGGGAAGAUUUGCAUAACACCGCCCAAAUGUUCACGCAAAGAAAGAAGGCGUAACUUUGAUUCUCGCUGUUGCUGCCGCCUCCAUGUUGUGGAGACACUGUGUGUUUCAUUGUGAAAGCAAAACUACUUUGUUUGGCCUUCCAAAAGAGGACACAACUAGAAAUCAGUGGUUAAGUUGUAUUUACAACACUUUUCCAGAACAGUUCAACUCAAAUAUUUGAGUGUGUGCAGCGCAUUUUAUGGAGGACUGUUUUCUGGGAGAGAAGCCUACAAUGUCAACUGUGCACAAAGGCUGUUUUUAUAAAAUGAGGCAAUUCCAACUUUGCAAGGACAGUCUGGCACUCGUCGCACUGGGACACAGCAUCACAGUAUGGUAAGGGGCGUAACAUUUCCAUCCCACACUUGAGGCAAUACGCCAAUCACAAUGCACUGGAUAGCUGGCCAAUCAGCGUACACCUUGCUUUUCAGAAUGAUGAGCUUUGUAAAAAUCUAUGUGUUUCAGAAAGGAGGGGCAUAGAUGAGAAACAAUAAUGUACAGUAUGUGGAAAAUAAUGUGAUUUUAGAAACUUAAACUGCAUAAACACAUUGCAUUACACCAAAUACACCAAAUAAUUAUAUUUUUAGCAAAGUCAUAUGACCCCUUUAAUACCUAAAGUCAAGUGUACUAGUACCUUAAUGGCAUAUAUUAGUACUUUUUUGGCACUGCUCCAGUGACAGCUUUUGGACCAUUGUUUCUUAGAGUGUACACUCUUGAACUAUGUAUAAGAUUAUUUUAUCAUCCAAAAUUAAAAAUGCAAGAAUUGAGAGUAUGAAAUGUCUAGCAUUCAUUUAUUUGGUUAAUCAAGUGCAUCAUCUGGGAAUUUGAAGUGCGCCUUUUCUUUUUGGAAACUGAACACACUACUCACACUAUUUCUACUGCAAAAUGGUGCAUAAGUAUCAGAACUGGGAAGCACUUCCAGUUUUACUCCCUUUUAAAAAAUAUGACCCACACUGGUUGACCACACAGCUCAGUGAAGAUGCUCACCAGUGGUGGGCAGACAGUGGCACAUCUCUCAGUAGGAUGGUUGUGAAGGAUUAAGAUGUUAAAUGGAGACUAUCUAAAGAAUAGCACUCUGUUAGGCCACUCUCCCUGUCUCUCUUCACACUCUAAAACGAUCUGCUGGUGCAGUGGAUUAGCGCAUUCGAGAGAGAGAGAGAGAGAGAGAGAGAGAGAGAGAGAGAGAGAGAGAGUCAAGAAGUCGCAUACGCAUGUAUAAAUACAAGCAUUAUUAUAUAUUGGAAAAGUGUCUUUGCUAUUCCCCUGGUCCCACUGAGCUCCUGCAGCGCUCUGGUGACUUGGGCCUCAGGCGUAGCUCAGGAAAAGGCAAAUCA